ensembl:snRNA U6 U6 spliceosomal RNA
GUGCUUGCUUUGGCAGCACAUAUACUGAAAUUGGGACUAUAAAGAGAGCAUUGCCCCUGCUCAAGGAUGACACGCAAAUUUUGAAGCAUUUCAUAUUUUU